rnacentral:rRNA from 1 species
CGGACCUUUGGUUUUGAGAAUUCCGAAUUUUUCGGACCGGUCUCAAAACGAUUGGUUAGUGGCGGACGGGGUGAGUAACACGUUGGUACCUGCCCUCUAGUGGGGAAUAACUGGCCGAAAAGGUCGGCUAAUACCGCAUGUGGUCUUUGGAUCAAAGCAGGCAAUGCGGCUAGAGGAGGGGCCUGCGGCUGAUUAGCUAGUUGGGUAAGGGUAACUGGCUCACCAAGGCGACGAUCGGGUAGCUGGUCUGAGAGGAUGACCAGCCUCACUGGGACUGAGACCACGGCCCAGACUCCUACGGGAGGCAGCAGUGGGGAAUAUUGGACAAUGGGCGCAAGCCUGAUCCAGCCAUGCCGCGUGGGUGAUGAAGGCCCUAGGGUUUGUAAAGCCCUUUCCAGCGGGGAAGAUAAUGACGGUACCCGCAGAAAGAAAGCCCCGGCUAACUUCGGUGCCAGCAGCCGCGGUAAUACGAAGGGGGCCUAGCGUUUGCUCGGAAUUACUGGGCGUAAAGCGCACGUAGGCGGCUUUUCUAAGUCGGGGGGUGAAAUCCUGGAGCUCAACUCCAGAACUGCCCUUCGAUACUGGAAAGCUCGAGUCCGGGAGAGGUGAGUGGAACUGCGAAGUUGUAGAGGUGAAAUUCGUAGAUAUUCGCAAAGAACACCAGUGGCGAAGGGCGUCUCACUGGGCCCCGGGUACUGACGCUGAGGUGCGAGAAAAGCGUGGGGGAGCAACAGGAUUGUAGAUACCCUGGUAGUCCACGCCGUAACCGAUGGGAUGCCUAGCCGUUGGCGAGCUUGCUCGUCCAGUGGCGCAGCUAACGCUUUAAGCAUCCCGCCUGGGGAAGUACGGUCGCAAAUGAAUUUAAAACUCAAAGGAAUUGACGGGGGGCCCGCACAAGCGGUGGAGCAUGUGGUUUCAAUUCGAAGCAACGCGCGGAACCUUACCAGCCCCUUGACAUGUCCCUCUAUGGAUUCCAGAGACGGAGUCCUUCAACUUCGGGUGGGAGGAACACAGGGCUGCAUGGCUGUCGUCAGCUCGUGUUCGUUGAGAUGGUUGAGUUAAGUCCCCGCCAAACGAGCGCAACCCUCCGCCCUUAGUUGCCAUCAUUUAGUUUGGGCACUCUAAAGGGGACUGCCGGGUGAUAAGCCGGAGGAAGGUGGGGAUGACCGUCAGUCCUCAUGGCCCUUACGGGCUGGGCUACACACGUGCUACAAUGGGCGGUGACAGAGGGAUGCAAAAGGGGCGACCCUUCGCAAAUCUCAAAAAUCCGUCUCAGUUUCGGAUUGGGGUCUGCAACUCGAACCCCAUGAAGUUGGAAUCGCUAGUAAUCGCAGAUCAGCACGCUGCGGUGGGAAUACGUUUCCCGGGCCUUGUACACACCGCCCGUCACACCAUGGGAGUUGGCUUUACCUGAAGACGGUGGCGCUAACCGCAAGAAGCAGCCGGCCACGGUAGGGUCAGCGACUGGGGUG